rnacentral:rRNA from 1 species
UACGAAGGGGGCUAGCGUUGCUCGGAAUCACUGGGCGUAAAGCGCACGUAGGCGGAUUGCUAAGUCAGGGGUGAAAUCCUGGAGCUCAACUCCAGAACUGCCUUUGAUACUGGCGACCUUGAGUCCGGGAGAGGAGAGUGGAAUUCCUGGUGUAGCGGUGAAAUGCGCAGAUAUCAGGAAGAACACCCGUGGCGAAAGCGGCUCUCUGGAACGGUACUGACGCUGAGACGCGAAAGCGUGGGGAGCGAACAGG